AGCGGAAUAUUGCCCAAUGGGGGGAACCCUGAAGCAGCAACGCCGCGUGGAGGAUGUCGCAUUUCGGGGUGUAAACUCUUUUUAUAUAUCAAGAAAAUGACGGUACCAUAUGAAUAAGCACCGGCUAAAUCCGUGCCAGCAGCCGCGGUAAUACGGAGGGUGCGAGCGUUAUUCUGAAUCACUGGGGGUAAAGGGCGCGUAGGCGGUUUUGCAAGUCAGAUGUGAAAUCCACUGGCUCAACCCUUGAACUGCAUUUGAAACUGCUAGACUAGAGUAUGGGAGGGGGAGGUGGAAUAAGUGGUGUAGCAGUAAAAUCCGUAGAUAUCAUUAGGAAUACCUAAAGGAAGGAGAUUCCUGGCACAUACGACAUAAGCACUCUGAUGAACGA
rnacentral:rRNA from 1 species